GUGGACCUGUAGGCCUCAUGCCUGGGUGCUUGUUACUGCCUGGGUCAAGGGUAAAGGUUCAGCAGGCAAAACUGCUGCUUCUGCAGCAUCAUCCCAGGACACUUAGAGUGGGAAGGACCAGGGAGGUUGUUCAAGCUGCACUGAAUUCCAUCACUGGCAGCCCUUGUGGAGUGCCACCAUGAAGGAUCUGAAGAUCAUUAUUUACUGGAAAGAGCAGAACAAGGCAGAAAUCGAUUCCCACCACGCUAGAUUUAUGUCUCCACUGCACUCUGUGUACAUCUCCUAUUUGUUCUAACUUCGUGGGAGGAUAUUUAAUACAUAAUGGAAAGAG